rnacentral:rRNA from 1 species
AUUCCAGCUCCAAUAGCGUAUAUUAAAGUUGUUGCAGUUAAAAAGCUCGUAGUUGGAUUUCUGGUGGGCGGACAAGAGCGGCAUGAAGUGUCAGCUUGCGUUCCCCGCCAUCCUUCUGUUAAACCGGUACGGUGUUUGUUCGCUGACCGGCGGCUCAGAUAUUUUACCUUGAGAAAAUUAGAGUGUUUCAGGCAGGCUCGGCCGGGAUACAUUAGCAUGGAAUAAUGGAAUAGGACUCCAGCCUCUUCUGUUGGUCUGAGGGGUUGAAGUAAUGAUUAAUAGGGAUAGUUGGGGGCAUUAGUACUUAACUGUCAGAGGUGAAAUUCUUGGAUUUGUUAAAGACUAACUUAUGCGAAAGCAUUUGCCAAGGAUGUUUUCAUUG